CCCAUCUGGUGCUCUUCCAUUUCCAUCCUCUGGGUGGGGCAGAGAUGUUAGGGGCAGAGUCGCUUGACCGACCUGUGCAUGCUUCAAAUACACCAGGGUCCUGUGUCUGCAUGCACGGCUGGAGUGCCCUCCUCCAGGCCCCAAUCUCUGCCUGGUCAACUCCUCUGCACCCGUCACCUCUCAGUUUGGGCAUCACUCUCUCUGAGAAGCCCUCCUUCAAGCCCUGGGUGCACCAGGUUGCAGUCUGAGUUUUCCCUGUACCUCACUGCAUGUCACUGGCCUGGCAGUGAGCACAGGGUAUAUGUGCUUGUGUGAUUAUCUGACUGAGGCUUGUCCUUCCCAGUAGGUGCUGAGUUCCAUCGAAUCAGGGCCCAUUCCUAGAUUUGCAGCCCUGGCACAGCAUCCAGCAUCCAGCAGGUGUUCAACAGACACUGGUGGCAUUAUCCCGUCUGUAAAUUUGUCAUGAGGCAACCAGAGAGGCCCAGGCUUCCGUACAAGGCCAAUCAGCGUCAGGUCCUGGCUUGGGGCUCAGGCCCUGGUCCAGGCUGGGAUCCUCGAGCGCUUCCUGCUGACAGUUAAUCAUAGUUAAUUGUGACCCCCAGCUUUCCCAGGGGCCACCGCCCAGCUCUCGUCUGAUGUCAUUCACGUUCAGCAGUGUGCAUCUUGCCACGAUCACGUGGUCUCUCAUUUUCCUCCUGGAUCCAGCCUUCCCAGCGGGCUCCAAGUGGCUGGGCCUGUGAGAUGCUGCGACUCUUCGAGAGCUUCCUAUUUCUGUGAAGACGCUCAGGCCACGGCCUCAUGUUCCUCAUCCAGCUUUCUGAGGACAAUGCGGGAAAGAUCUCAAGUUCGUAUCAAGGCUGAAUCCGACUCUAUCCACGUGACUUCUAUUGGAAUCCGAGAGUUGGACCCAAUGGAGGGUCCAGCCACCACCCGGAACGACCUGGUCAUUUUCCAGAUGAGGGGACCUACGUUUAGAUGAAUGAAGACAAUGAGGCUGAGAGAUGUUCAGUUACUAGGUCAAAUUACAAAUAUGUGCACUUCAAACUGGGCUCAGGUCUGGAUCAAUCUUUCUCCAUGGCCAGUGCUCUUGGACCAUCAAGAAUUACCUUUUCCUGCUUCUACCAUGGUUCCCACUCCCCCUCCCUCUGGCCCACCAUUUCCACCCUGCACUAUGCAUGGGCUCUGGACUCACACCAGCCGGGAGCUCUUUCCAGCAUUCAACAUAUACUUACUGAGACCUGCCUUCUGGAGCUUACCCAGGAGCUAAGAAAACAAGAGACAGUCAAAGAUAAAACUGCAUAAUAUGAUACGCUGAGGGAAAUAGAGGGGGAGAGUGAGGGUGCUGUGUGAGAGACAGACGGCUGGGAAGAGUCCAGGGAGUACAAAGGCCAGGAACUGUGGGCCAAGAGCUGUGGGUGGGGCCUGUGGGUGGAGCUCUGCAUGGGAAAUCUGG
rnacentral:lncRNA from 1 species